AUUUCAUUAGGUUCUUCCUAAGAAACUGAGAACAUCAAUUUGUUAGAACAAACUCCAUUUGUGAGAGAUGACUCAGAGCAUAGGUAGCCCUGGAGCUAAAGAAAAGAACAGCUUUGAUUUUUGGCAGAAUUUGUAAGUUCACAGCUUUCUGAUCAACCUUGUGCUGCUCUAUAAGCUCGUAUUUCUCCUUUUGUGUGCACGGGAGAAAGACAUUUCUUCUACCCACUCUGGGUUCUUCUGGCUGGAGAACAAAUUAAGUUCACAUGAGACAGAAUAACAGGAGAAAAUUAAACAAAGCCUUAUAACAUGUAUACAUGAGAGAGGCUCAGGCAAAGUGAGCAACUCGCCAAAAUGGCUGAAGCCACCACCUUAAAUAUCAUCUUCAGCUAAAGACAAAGGAGGAUGUUGGGGGUGGGGGGAAGUGGAUCACGGGAGAUUACCACACAAGUACAGUAAACAAGGGUCAGGGUGUUAUGCAGACUUGAGUCCUUGCCUUCCACAUUGAUGAGAAUUUCUAGAGAUAAGGUCAUUCCUCCUUCCUGGUACAGAGAGGGAGACCCUUUACAGAUGGAGAUUUCCUUUACAAUAUAAAUGUCUCUUAACAAAGGGUAAGAAAAUUCUACUUUUCAGAGUUUCUUUCCUGUCUGCAGUUUUUAAAAGUAAUCAGCUCCAAAUAAUCCUCAUGCCAAAGAGACAACUUUGGGGUGGCUAAUCCCAGUCACCUACUCAUGCUGAAGACCUCACUCACAUUCCUGGUGUCUGGACUUACCAAGCUUCUUCUUUCUGAAAGCGACGGACCAGGAGAGGAGAGAGGAAGUCAUGACAUUCUCAUGGAAUGAUAUGAAUAAAUCUGGCUAAUAUGUGAAAGAAGUAAGAUAU
rnacentral:lncRNA from 1 species